GGUCAUUUCUGUGUCCCGUAAAGAGAACGGCUGCUGCUUGAUGCCAGCUUUCCCAUUAUUGCCCGCUGUUUGGGGGCUCCGCAGACAUGGCCCAAGGAGGAGGGCAGGGGGCUAAUUAUCUUCCUCAAUCCUGUGACAAAAAGAAUUGGAGGUGACAGGAAAAGCAAGAACAAUUUGGUUCUCAGUGAAUUCCCAAUGAAUGAUUGCUAAACUACAAAAAAAAAAAAAAAGACAAA